rnacentral:rRNA from 1 species
GAUGAACGCUGGCGGCGUGCCUAAUACAUGCAAGUCGAGCGAAUGGAUUAAGAGCUUGCUCUUAUGAAGUUAGCGGCGGACGGGUGAGUAACACGUGGGUAACCUGCCCAUAAGACUGGGAUAACUCCGGGAAACCGGGGCUAAUACCGGAUAAUAUUUUGAACUGCAUGGUUCAAAAUUGAAAGGCGGCUUCGGCUGUCACUUAUGGAUGGACCCGCGUCGCAUUAGCUAGUUGGUGAGGUAACGGCUCACCAAGGCAACGAUGCGUAGCCGACCUGCGAGGGUGAUCGGCCACACUGGGACUGAGACACGGCCCAGACUCCUACGGGAGGCAGCAGUAGGGAAUCUUCCACAAUGGACGAAAGUCUGACGGAGCAACGCCGCGUGAGUGAUGAAGGCUUUCGGGUCGUAAAACUCUGUUGUUAGGGAAGAACAAGUGCUAGUUGAAUAAGCUGGCACCUUGACGGUACCUAACCAGAAAGCCACGGCUAACUACGUGCCAGCCGCCGCGGUAA